GAUGAACGCUGGCGGCGUGCCUAAUACAUGCAAGUCGAGCGAACAGACGAGGAGCUUGCUCCUCUGACGUUAGCGGCGGACGGGUGAGUAACACGUGGAUAACCCACCUAUAAGACUGGCAUAACUUCGGGAAACCGGAGCUAAUACCGGAUAAUAUAUUGAACCGCAUGGUUCAAUAGUGAAAGACGGUUUUGCUGUCACUUAUAGAUGGAUCCGCGCCGCAUUAGCUAGUUGGUAAGGUAACGGCUUACCAAGGCGACGAUGCGUAGCCGACCUGAGAGGGUGAUCGGCCACACUGGAACUGAGACACGGUCCAGACUCCUACGGGAGGCAGCAGUAGGGAAUCUUCCGCAAAGGGCGAAAGCCUGACGGAGCAACGCCGCGUGAGUGAUGAAGGUCUUCGGAUCGUAAAACUCUGUUAUUAGGGAAGAACAAAUGUGUAAGUAACUAUGCACGUCUUGACGGUACCUAAUCAGAAAGCCACGGCUAACUACGUG
rnacentral:rRNA from 1 species